CGUUGCCAGAACACAGAACACCUACAAGUCUUGAUCGAACACGCGCGUUUGCACGCGUUUUUUUUGCACUCGUUCGGCGACUAUUCGUGCGUCCUGAAACAUUGUAGGCUGCUUCAAUUAGUUCUCAGCGAGGGUGUCUUCAUUGCACAUCUGAAAAGACAUGGCGGAUCAACCUCCCACGGGACGAGCAAGAGGCCGCUCGCGUGGCAAGUCUCGCGGCCCCACAGGCCCGCCGCAACAGGAAUCUGCAAUGCGGAGGCCUGGCUUUGAAGGUGCUGGGCCGUCUCAGGGAUAUCAACAGCCACCUCAACAGUACCAGCAACCGUCCCAACAGUACCAGCAACCGUCCCAACAGUACCAACAGCCGCCCCAACAGUACCAACAGCAGCCAGGGUAUCAACAAAGGCCUGGCUUUCAGCAGCCCCCACAGCAGCAGCCAGCCUAUCAGCAGCCACCUGGUGGUAUGGCCGGUCGCCCACCCCCGCAGCAGGUGCCGCCGCAUAUGCCCCCGACAGGACGGGCUGCCCACCGUCCUGCGGGAGCGAUUGCAAGGCCAGGGGAUGUUGCCCCUGUGCAGCCGCUCGUCCAACAAAUGGGGGCCAUGAGCUUGGGUGGUGGUGACACUGCUGGCCGAGGUGCUCGUCGUGGCCGCCGCGAUGACAUCGCUAUUCUCGCAACUCGUCCGCAACGAAUCACAGACAAGAAAGGUACGACUGGAAACCCUGUCAAAUUGUUGUCCAACUACUUUCGUCUGCUCACAAUGCCCAACUGGGCCAUCCAGCAGUACCACGUCGAGUUUGCGCCAAACAUUGAGUCAUCUCGUCUGCGAAGUGCUCUCCUGCGCGACCAUCGGGACCGAUUUGGUGGUAGCUACAUCUUUGAUGGGAUGUCCGAUUUGAAAAGCGCCACUCGGCUGGAGCAUAAGGUCACAGAGCUGUACUCUCAGCGCCGCACUGAUGGUGCGCAAAUUCGCAUCACAGUGAAGCAUGUCCAGGAGCUUGCCCCUCACAACCCAGAGCUGCUGAGAAUUUUCAACACUCAGAUGCGCAGAAACCUGGAGAGCAUGCAAUUUGUUCAGAUCCGGCGCCAGUUCUUCAAUGCUGCUGGUCCGAAGCCAAUCAGCCGUCAUGGGCUGGAAGUUUGGGAAGGUCUGACCACUGCGGUCGGUCAGCACGACGGUGGCAUCCUCAUGGUAGUUGACACUGUGCACAAGGUGCUUCGCACGGAGAACGUUCUCCACCUUCUCGGCUCGCUGCAACAGAACGCUCGCGGCAACUACAAGGACGAAGCCGUCAAGGCUGUGGUCGGCUGCAUCGUCAUGACGAGAUACAACAACAGGACAUACCGAGUGGAUGAUAUUGACUGGACAAAGAACCCACAGCAGACCUUCGACACGAAGGAGGGCCCAAUCACCUAUAUAAAGUACUACAAGGACCACUACCAAAAGGACAUCAGGGACCUCAAUCAGCCUCUGCUCGUGUGUCGUCCAAGAGAACGCGACAUUAGGGUUGGCCGCACAGACAACCUGUACCUCAUUCCAGAGCUGUGCUUCCUCACUGGGUUGACAGAUGACAUUCGCUCAAACUUCAGCAUCAUGAAGGACCUGGCCAGCGAAAUGAAGUUGGACCCCGCCAAGCGUGUGGCCAACCUGAACGAAUUCAUGCGGAAUAUGAGCAGGCAUCCACAAGUCCAAAAGGAAAUGGGCCAGUGGGGUCUGAAGUUCUCGGAGAGCCUCGUUGAAAUUGAUGCUCGUCAAGUGCAGCCUGAAAGAGUGAUUCAUGGAAACAACAUCAGGUCCAAUGUGAACCCCAUGACUGCAGACUUCUCGCGGGAGAUGCGUGACAAGACGAUGUUCAAGGCUGUCCAGAUCCGGUCCUGGGUGGUUGUGUGCACUCGUCGUGACAUGCAGAAUGCUCAGGACUUUGUACGUGAGCUGAUGUGUGUUGGACCGCCAAUGGGAGUGACCAUGCAGCAGCCGCAGUUAGUUGCUCUGGAUGAUGACCGUGUCGGCAGCUACAUAAUGGCCUCAAGAAUAUUCCCAGGGAAACCGAGAUGCUGAUGGCAGUGUUUCCGAACAAUCGAAAGGAUCGUUACGACAGUCUCAAGAAGGUGGCCUGUGUAGACAUGGGACUGCACACGCAAGUGAUGCUGGGAAGAACCAUCAGCAACAAGAAAAAUCUGAAGUCCGUAGCUACUAAAGUUGCCAUUCAGAUGAACUGCAAGCUUGGUGGAGAAGCUUGGGCUGUCGAGAUCCCGCUCCAAGGUGUGAUGUGCAUUGGCUACGACACUUACCACGACUGCCGUCAAAAGGGCCUCUCGGCUGGCGGCUUUGUUGCCAGCCUAAACAAGAGCCUGACUCGCUGGUAUUCCCGCGUGGGCUUCCACCAGACACACCAGGAACUGGGCAGUGCCCUCAAGACUCAUCUGGCAUUGUCAAUGAAGCAGUACCAGGAGGAGAACAACGCUGUACCCGAGCGAAUCCUGUUUUUCCGUGAUGGUGUCUCAGAUGGUCAGCUGCUCCAGGUUCAGGAAUGGGAGGUCGGCCAGAUUCAGAGCCUACUCACCGAGAUGUUCCCUGGGCGAGAGCCUCAGCUUGCUUUUGUUGUGGUGACCAAGAGAAUCUCCGCUCGUUUCUUUAGCGUUGACAACAGGGGUGGUGCAUACCAGAACCCUCCCCCGGGAACUGUGAUUGACAACAAUGUCACCAGGCCUGAACGGUACGACUUCUACCUAGUCUCCCAGAGCGUUCGUCAGGGAACUGUGGCACCCACGCACUUCAACGUCAUUCAUGACACAACAACACUGAAGCCAGAGCACAUGCAGCGUCUCUCGUACAAGCUCACCCACUUGUACUUCAACUGGCCGGGCACUAUCAGGGUCCCUGCCCCAUGCCAGUAUGCCCACAAGCUGGCCUUCCUGGCAGGACAGAGUCUUCACACCGAGCCACACAAGAGGCUUGCGACCACGCUUUUCUACCUGUAAAUGCAGUCUCAUCUCGGGGAAGGCCACAAAUCACUGCCAAGUCCAAAUCGUGAUCAUUGUCAAAGUUGAAAAUGUGUUUUUUUUUUUUCCUGUCUCUUUCUUGUCAGCUUCACAUUUUUAGAUGAGGCUGACUGCCAAGCUUUGUGCCCCCCUUCUCUUAUUUUAUUAAUCACGACCAUCUUGUAUUAUUUUGGAGUUACUUUUGCAGUUGAAUGGUAAUUGGUGAUGAAAUCAUCCCAACAAAUUGUAGAAAGGUUUUUGACAGAGGGGCAUUACAUAUAGGUUAGUCCCCACUUUGUAAUUCUUUAUCGGAACAUGAACACUCUACCUCCAGUUUCGUCAUUUAGAAAAAGACCCCUGCAGCUGUUUUUGUAUCAUUUGUUUGUGGAAAUACUGUGGCUAGGUGGUAUUGUCGUUUUGAUAGUUUCAUUGCUACAAUAAAUGAGUCAUGUAGCAACUCAUUUUGCCAAAUGAAGGUGUAACUUGGCAGAGGUUAAGUGCCUUGUCAUAUCAUUUCAUUGUUAAAAGUUCAUAACAUUUAUGAAUAAAAAGUUUUUUGCUACGUG